CUCCAAGCUAUGGCAUGGCUCUAAGAAGCUGUAGGUGAGGAGCCUUGAAUGGACACCUCUAUUUCCCUCCCCUCCAAAAUAUGACUCGUCAUCUUAGGUUGGAGAUGCUGUUCUGCAGACGCCUCGGCUGCAGUUGCCUUCGCAUGACGGGGACCCGCUCUCUGCAGCAGAGUGAUGAGACUACUGGAGUAUGAGCUGAGAACAGCUGGGCUCCGGAGGGAGUCUCUCACCGUUUAACCAAAGGUCACCCCUGCAGCCCUUCCUGUACCUGCCUGCGGAGAUUGCCAUGUCUGCACCUGGAAUCCAAACCUGUGAACCCCUGGCUGCCAAAGUGGAGCACGUGAACCUAACUGCUAUGCCACCAAGCUCGCCCAUGAGAGCAAUUUUUAAAAAAUUUUUUUUGUUUUACUUCCUGACAAAUAGGAAAGAUUGUUUCAGAAAUGAAGUUUAUUUUGGAGCCCCAUACAAAGAAUAAUAACAUGAAACUGUCUUUCCAUUCCUCUUUUAAUAUGUCUCUGC
rnacentral:lncRNA from 1 species